rnacentral:rRNA from 1 species
GACGAACGCUGGCGGCGUGCUUAACACAUGCAAGUCGAACGGAAAGGCCCUGCUUUUGUGGGGUGCUCGAGUGGCGAACGGGUGAGUAACACGUGAGUAACCUGCCCUUGACUUUGGGAUAACUUCAGGAAACUGGGGCUAAUACCGGAUAGGAGCUCCUGCUGCAUGGUGGGGGUUGGAAAGUUUCGGCGGUUGGGGAUGGACUCGCGGCUUAUCAGCUUGUUGGUGGGGUAGUGGCUUACCAAGGCUUUGACGGGUAGCCGGCCUGGGAGGGUGACCGGCCACAUUGGGACUGAGAUACGGCCCAGACGCCUACGGGAGGCAGCAGUGGGGAAUAUUGCACAAUGGGCGGAAGCCUGAUGCGGCAACGCCGCGUGCGGGAUGACGGCCUUCGGGUUGUAAACCGCUGUCGACUGUGACGAAGCGUGAGUGACGGUAAUGGGUAAAGAAGCACCGGCUAACUACGUG